AACCUGCCGAAUGAGGGUGGAAUGGACCUGAAAGCUCACACGUGGAUCGAUGAGGAGAAAACAAACGCCCCAUCAAAGCUUCACUCGUCAUCCGACGUCCUCGUUUCCUGCGCGUGACGAGUGACAACUUCCCUUUUUAACUAAACGUUUAAAUCAUCGGAACGCUGAACCCGUCCGUCUGCUUGUCAGAAGAUAUGAAAGGAAACAGCUUUAGUGGGUUUAACACACAAGUGAUGAUGCAGAUGAAGUCAGCUAUUACAUUUCCGAAGAAAAUCUCCCUGAAUUCCGCAGGCUGUUCCUUUAAGCCCCUCUGGAAUAUGAAAUAAAGAACGAGGGAGGAAGUCGAUUGAUGCCACUUAGGAGAGCUUCGGAUUGUCCUGAAGGUCCGACGCAGUAGAACAGAGAUGUUUCAUUGCAGAUCGUAUAAAAUCCUCAAUUAAAAAAAAACAACCUGAAGAGGCUGCAGAGGGACCUGCUCACUUCAAGCAAACCAAAGCUUUAUUG
ensembl:lncRNA